ensembl:lncRNA
UGGACCUGGUGGAGCCGGUACUGGUUUUGGACCUGGUGGAGCCAGUACCGGUUUUGGACCUGGUGGAGCCGGUACCGGUUUCGGGCCUGGUGGAGCUGGUACUGGCUUUGGACCUGGUGGAGCUGGUACUGGCUUUGGACCUGGUGGGACUGGUACUGGCUUUGGACCUGGUGGAGGAGUUGGUGCUGGUGGUGCCGGUUAUGGGCCUGGAGGUUAUGCUGGAGCCAAAACGCGUAAAUAUGGACUGCCAGGUGGAGCUGGGGGUGCUCUGGGUACAGGAUCUGUUGGGCUUGGAGUUGGAGGAGGUAUCCCAGGGCGAAGUGUUGGGAUAACAACAGGUGGAGGGGCUGGACUGGGGACUGCUGGAGUGCCUGGUUCUGGUGGAGUGGGUACUGGUGGAUUUGGACCUGGUGGUACUGGAGGAUUUGGCCCUGGUGGAUUUGGCCCUGGUGGAGUUGGUCCUGGUGGAUUUGGCCCUGGUGGAUUUGGCCCUGGUGGGGUUGGUCCUGGUGGACUUGGCCCUGGUGGACUUGGCCCUGGUGGAGGUGUGGGGACAGGAUUUGGACCAGCUGGAUUUGGGCCAGGAUAUGGGACUGGACAGAAGCCAUACAAAUAUACUCCACAUGCGGGGGGUGGUGGAGUCCUAGGAGAAGGAACAGGACGGACUGGCCAGCCUGGUGGCACUGUGCCUAGUGGGGGGAGAGGCAUUGCAGGAGCUACUAAUGCAAAUGGGACAGGAGUGUCAGGGAAUGGCACCAGACCAAUCAGUGGAGUAGCAACUACAGUAAUAGGUGAAUCGCAGGAUGGACUUGGAGCAACAGGGGUCACAACUUCCCCAACAUCAGAAGGGCGUGCGGGUACGAGAGGAAGAGAUGGAAAAGACAGUGACGGAGGUGUGACUGGAGGACCUGUAGGAGGCGAGAAAGAUGGUCUAAUUGCAACAGGAAUUCCGAUACUCGCUGCAAAACCAGACCUCAAUGGGACAUCACUACCAGGGGCUACCGGUGCAACGGCUGUUCAAGGUGGAAUUGUGCAAUCAGGUUCAAGUAAUGAUACAACUAGUGUACUACCUGGAGCUAAGCCCAUUAAACCUCCAGGGAUUCCCAGAGGAGACACUCCAGGUGAAGGAGAUGGUGAAGGUGGACCUGAUGGAGAGAGAGAAUCUGCCCGUGGUCUAGGAGUGACACCUAAACCGGGUCCUGGGGAUGUAGCAGGAGGUCCUGGGGGUGUAGGAGGGGGUCCUGGGGGUGUAGGUCCUGGUGGAGCAAGUGUCAUCAAACCUGGAAAAAGUUAUUACGGUGCUGGUGGUAUUGGGGUAUUGCCAGGUGGAGGCAAACGUUAUCUAACUGGAGCAGGACAAGCAGUUGGUAAACCAGGGAAAGUUUAUGGAAAUAUUGGUCCUGGUGGGUAUGGUACUGGUCCAGGUUAUGGAAGUGUCGGU